GAUGAACGCUGGCGCCGUGCUUAACACAUGCAAGUCGAACGAUGAAGCCCAGCUUGCUGGGUGGAUUAGUGGCGAACGGGUGAGUAACACGUGAGUAACCUGCCCUUAACUCUGGGAUAAGCCUGGGAAACUGGGUCUAAUACCGGAUAGGAGCGUCCACCGCAUGGUGGGUGUUGGAAAGAUGUAUCGGUUUUGGAUGGACUCGCGGCCUAUCAGCUUGUUGGUGAGGUAAUGGCUCACCAAGGCGACGACGGGUAGCCGGCCUCGAGAGGGUGACCGGCCACACUGGGACUGAGACACGGCCCAGACUCCUACGGGAGGCAGCAGUGGGGAAUAUUGCACAAUGGGCGAAAGCCUGAUGCAGCGACGCCGCGUGAGGGAUGACGGCCUUCGGGUUGUAAACCUCUUUCAGUAGGGAAGAAGCGAAAGUGACGGUACCUGCAGAAGAAGCACCGGCUAACUACGUGCCAGCCGCCGCCGUAA
rnacentral:rRNA from 1 species